rnacentral:rRNA from 1 species
UGGGGAAUAUUGGACAAUGGGGGCAACCCUGAUCCAGCAAUACCGCGUGUGUGAAGAAGGCCUUCGGGUUGUAAAGCACUUUCAGUUGGGAAGAAGUGUAUUAUUUGAAUAGAGUAGUGCAUUGACGUUACCGACAGAAGAAGCACCGGCUAACUCUGUGCCAGCAGCCGCGGUAAUACAGAGGGUGCAAGCGUUAAUCGGAAUUACUGGGCGUAAAGGGCGCGUAGGUUGCUAUGUAAGUUGGAUGUGAAAUGUUCGGGCUUAACCUGAAACGGCCAUCCAAUACUGCAUAGCUAGAGUACAGUAGAGGGAAGGGGAAUUUCCGGUGUAGCGGUGAAAUGCGUAGAUAUCGGAAGGAACAUCAGUGGCGAAGGCGCUUCCUGGACUGAUACUGACACUGAGGCGCGACAGCGUGGGGAGCGAACAGGAUUAGAUACCCAUGUAGUCCCUGAGCGGGCUGGCAAGGCGCAU